UUAUGUACUUUUACAUACAUCUCAAAGUUAUUUUGGAUAUUUUUAUACACAUAAUUGAAAACCAUACUUUAAACAGCUUAUCUUUACAUUGCACAUGUUUUUAAGCUGCUAUAUAAUGAAAUGAGUAGUUAUAUUGAGUUAUGUUAUUCAUGAAUCGAGCAAAGCCAAGACGCAGGUAACUAGGAUCGACAUUCCAGCACACCGUUGAUCCAAUGAUCAGUUCAGAGUCUGUUGGUGAGCCUCAUUGCUUUCAGGAGAAUACAUUUUCAUUGCUUUCUAGUUUAGUUCAUUAGGAUGUUGUGGGGUCUGUCCCAACAUCCAUCUCAGUUAUUAGAGGUUUCCUAGAUAUUCGUUCACAUGUUAGUUAUUUCGUCAUAAUUUUGUUAUUAACUUAUUUUCAUAUUUGAGUUUCAUUUUGGCUAAGGUAAACGUUUAUUUUAAAAACAUUUUUUAUUUCAGUUCCAAACAGUUGAUUUAGUUAGCAUCUUAAUCUUUGUAUUAAUGUUUUAAGUCUUCUGAUGAGUAAGUAAGCCAGGUCAGGGGUUCGCUUGGGGUCAGCAAUGGUCUUUGAGUGCCAGCCACGUCAAGGAUGCAGGUUAGGGGCGUGACAACCUCACCACACGAAUCGUCACGAUCUGUGGUGACCACCAUGAACCUUCUUGGCUCUCGUGGGAGGUGAGAAACCCUUGGUCACCAUGCCUAAGUCCAUGGGCACCACCACGAGUCGUGGUUUCCUUCACGAGCCGUGUAGACCUUCGUCAAGGGUUCCAAGGUUAUUUUCUCUAAUUCUUGACUUCCCACUUAGACCUAGCUUAGCCUACUAGAUCUCGAGGUGUUACACCUUAUUUAAUUCAAUAUCUCUUUGAUCAAAUUUGUUGUUAUAUUUACGAGACUUGUAUAUAUUAAAUGAACUUAUAUACAUUAAUAAUAAAAUCAUAAAUACAACUA